GCCAACUUAGCUCAACGGUAGAGCUCCGGUUUUGUAAACCGGGGGUUGUCGGUUCGAAUCCGACAGUUGGCU
rnacentral:tRNA from 1 species